UUACUUACCUCGACUCUUAGCUUGUCAGGGACGGUAGCCAGGACCCAGUGUCUGCUCCAGUCUCCUUCUUCUCCUAACACUUAGCCACUAUGCGUGAGUGUAUCUCCAUCCACAUCAGCCAGGCUGGUGUCCAGAUUGUCAAUGUCUGCUGGGAGCUGUACUGCCUGGAACAGGGCAUCCAGCCCGAUGACCAGAUGCCAAAUGACAAGAUCAUUGGGGGAGGAGAUGACUCCAUCAACACAUUCUUCAGUGAGUCGGGCACUGGCAAGCAUGUGCCCAGGGCAGUGUUUGUAGACCUAGAACCCACGGUCAUUUACGAAGUUCUCACUGCCACCUACUGCCAGCUCUCCCACCCUGAACAAUUCAUCACAGGCAAGGAAGAUGUGGUCAACAACUGUGCUGAGGGCACUACACUAUUGGCAAGGAGAUCAUUGACCUCAUCUUAGACCAAAUUCGCAAGGUGGCUGACCAGUGCACAGGUCUUCAUGGCUUCUCAGUUUUCCACAGCUUUGGUGGAGGAACUGGGUCUGGGCUCACCUCCCUGCUGGUGAAACUUCUCUCUGUGGAUUAUGGCAAGAAGUCCAAGCUGGUGUUUUCCAUUUACCCAGCCCCCAGGUUUCCACAGCUGUAGCUGAGCCCUACAACUCCAUCCUCACCACCCACACCACCCUAGAGCACUCUGUGCCUUCAUGGUAGCCAAUGAGGCCAUCUAUAACAUCUGUGUAGAAACCUUGAUAUUGAGCGCCCAACCUACACUAACCUUAACCGUCUUAUUAGCCAGAUUGUGUCCUCUAUCACCGUUUCCCUCAGAUUUGAUGGAACCCUGAAUGUUGACCAACAGAAUUCUAGACCAACCUGGUGCCGUAUCCUCACAUUCACUUCCUUCUGGCCACAUACGAUGCUGUCAUCUCUGCUGAGAAAGCCUAUCAUGAACAGCUUUCUGUAGCAAAGAUCACCAAUGCUUGCUUUGAGCCAGCCAAUCAGAUGGUGAAAUGUGACCCUUGCCGUGGUAAAUGCAUGACUUGUAGCCCGUUGUACUGUGAUGAUGUGGUUCCCAAAGACAUCAGUACUGCCGUUGCCACCAUCAAGACCAAGCGCAGCAUCCAGUUUGCAGACUGGUGUCCCAUUGGCUUCAAAGUUGGCAUUAAUUACCAACCUCCCACCAUGGUGCCUGGUGGAGACCUGGCCAAGGUGAAGAGAACUGUGUGCAUGCUGAACAAUACUACAGCCAUUGCUGAGGCCUGGGCUUGCCUCGAUCACAAGUUUGACCUGAUAGAUGCCAAGCAUGCAUUUGUUCAGUGGUACAUGGGUGAGGGGAUGGAGGAAGGAGAGUUUACUGAGGCCUGUGAGGACAUGGCUACCCUUGGAAAGGAUUAUGAGGAGGUUGGUGUGGAUUCCGUUGAAGGAGAGGGAGAGGAAGAAGGAGAGGAAUACUAAUACUAUCCUUUCAGCCCUGCAGCAUGUCACCUCCCAGAAUUUCAUUCCAACAUUAGCUGACAGGCAUUGAAGCUUUCUGGUUAGAUUGUUUUCACUCAGUGGUGAUCAUGUCUUUUCCAUGUGUACCUGUAAGAUUUUUCCAUCAUGGCUCAAAGUAAAAAUUU